rnacentral:rRNA from 1 species
CCCCGGGCUCAACCUGGGAACUGCGUUNUGAACUGGGUAGCUAGAGUAUGUCAGAGGGGGGUAGAAUUCCACGUGUAGCAGUGAAAUGCGUAGAGAUGUGGAGGAAUACCGAUGGCGAAGGCAGCCCCCUGGGAUAAUACUGACGUUCAUGCUNGAAAGCGUGGGUAGCAAACAGGAUUAGAUACCCUGGUAGUCCACGCCCUAAACGAUGUCGAUUAGCUGUUGGGCAGCUUGACUGCUUGGUAGCGUAGCUAACGCGUGAAAUCGACCGCCUGGGGAGUACGGUCGCAAGAUUAAAACUCAAAGGAAUUGACGGGGACCCGCACAAGCGGUGGAUGAUGUGGAUUAAUUCGAUGCAACGCGAAGAACCUUACCUGGUCUUGACAUGUACGGAACCUUCCAGAGACGGAAGGGUGCCUUCGGGAGCCGUAACACAGGUGCUGCAUGGCUGUCGUCAGCUCGUGUCGUGAGAUGUUGGGUUAAGUCCCGCAACGAGCGCAACCCUUGUCAUUAGUUGCCAUCAUUCAGUUGGGCACUCUAAUGAGACUGCCGGUGACAAACCGGAGGAAGGUGGGGAUGACGUCAAGUCCUCAUGGCCCUUAUGACCAGGGCUUCGCACGUCAUACAAUGGUCGGUACAAAGGGUAGCCAAGCCGCGAGGCGGAGCCAAUCUCAUAGAACCGAUCGUAGUCCGGAUUGCACUCUGCAACUCGAGUGCAUGAAGUCGGAAUCGCUAGUAAUCGCAGGUCAGCAUACUGCGGUGAAUACGUUCCCGGGUCUUGUACACACCGCCCGUCACACCAUGGGAGUGGGGGAUACCAGAAGUAGGUAGGGUAACCGCAAGG